GCCGAGGUGGUGUAGCCAGGUCAGCAUAGCGGCCUGUCGAGCCGCCGACCCGGGUUCAAAUCCCGGCCUCGGCGCCA
rnacentral:tRNA from 1 species